GGGUUCAGUGGUAGAAUUCUUGCCUUCCGUGCAGGAGACCCGGGUUUGAUUCCCAGCCA
rnacentral:tRNA from 1 species